rnacentral:rRNA from 1 species
GUGGGGAAUAUUGGACAAUGGGCGCAAGCCUGAUCCAGCCAUGCCGCGUGAGUGAUGAAGGCCCUAGGGUUGUAAAGCUCUUUCACCGGUGAAGAUAAUGACGGUAACCGGAGAAGAAGCCCCGGCUAACUUCGUGCCAGCAGCCGCGGUAAUACGAAGGGGGCUAGCGUUGUUCGGAAUUACUGGGCGUAAAGCGCACGUAGGCGGACAUUUAAGUCAGGGGUGAAAUCCCGGGGCUCAACCCCGGAACUGCCUUUGAUACUGGGUGUCUGGAGUAUGGAAGAGGUAAGUGGAAUUCCGAGUGUAGAGGUGAAAUUCGUAGAUAUUCGGAAGAACACCGGUGGCGAAGGCGACUCACUGGCCCAAUACUGACGCUGAGGCGCGAAAGCGUGGGGAGCAAACAGGAUUAGAAACCCCUGUAGUCC